UACGUAGGGUGCAGGCGUUAAUCGGAAUUACUGGGCGUAAAGCGUGCGCAGGCGGUUUUGCUAAGACAGGUGUGAAAUCCCCCGGGCUUAACCUGGGAACUGCGCUUGUAACUGGCAAGCUAGAGUGUGGCAGAGGGGGGGUGGAAUUCCACGUGUAGCAGUGAAAUGCGUAGAGAUGUGGAGGAACACCGAUGGCGAAGGCAGCCCCCUGGGCUAACACUGACGCUCAUGCACGAAAGCGUGGGGACAAACAGGAUUAGAGUACCC
rnacentral:rRNA from 1 species